rnacentral:lncRNA from 1 species
AUAAAAGUUUAAAUUUUAUUGGGUGUAAAGCUCUUAAAGAACUGCUGUUCACAAAGAGUAUAAAGAUUGCUGAGUCUCGGUGUACGUACCCCUACUAAAACGUGUUAGUCCUGCUGUUUUCUUUCUUUAACUGUAGCAAUUUGCUUUCUUGCAGUUCUAUAAUCCUUGCACUUAGCAGCACGGAGGGCUCACAGCCUGCUUGCACCUGUGGGCAGCUGGGAGAGGCUGUCUGUCCUUCUGAGGCAGGUGGAGAAGUGCUUGCAGACCCCCGAGCUGUUGUUUAACUACCACAGACCACAAUUUAUCUACAGCUUGAGGCCAUAAAGGGGAUUC